UUUUUUUUCAAUUUAUCUUCUCACAUCUAUUUCACAGUCCAUCUUGGUACGGAACGACUCAUCUUCAACUUUCAAAAAAAAACGAGUAUCAAAAGACAUGGCAACUCAGCAUCGUGAAACAUAUCCCAGUGACAGAGACAACGCC